rnacentral:rRNA from 1 species
UGAGUACGAGACGCUAAGGCGUCGAAGUAGUGGAUGUCAUACUUCCAAGAAAAGCUUGCACUGUCAUAAAUAAAAACGCCUGUACCAUAACCGACACAGGUGGGUAGGUAGAGUAUACUAAGGGGCGCGAGAUAACUCUCUCUAAGGAACUCGGCAAAAUGACUCCGUAACUUCGGGAGAAGGAGUGCCUUAUUCGUAAGGCUGCAAUAACAAGAUCCAAGCAACUGUUUAUCAAAAACACAGGUCUCCGCUAAGUCGUAAGACGAUGUAUGGGGGCUGACGCCUGCCCAGUGCCAGAAGGUUAAAGAAGUCGGUUAGCAUUAGCGAAGCUGGUAACUGAAGCCCUGGUGAACGGCGGCCGUAACUAUAACGGUCCUAAGGUAGCGAAAUUCCUUGUCGGGUAAGUUCCGACCCGCACGAAAGGCGUAAUGAUUUGGAUACUGUCUCGGAGAGGGGCUCGGUGAAAUAGACUUGUCUGUGAAGAUGCGGACUACCUGCACCAGGACAGAAAGACCCUAUGAAGCUUUACUGUAACUUGAAAUUGAAAUUGGACUUUAUUCGCGCAGUAUAGGUGGGAGGUGUUGAUUAUAAUCUUGCGGGAUUAUUGGAGCCAUCAGUGAGAUACCACUCUUGUAAUGUUAGAUUUCUAACUUUGAAUCAUUAUCUGGUCAAAGAACAGUUUCAGGCGGGCAGUUUGACUGGGGCGGUCGCCUCCUAAAUGGUAACGGAGGCGUACAAAGGUUUCCUCUGAACGGGUAGAAAUCGUAUCUAGAGUGUAAAGGCAUAAGGAAGCUUGACUGUGAGACCUACAAGUCGAGCAGGGACGAAAGUCGGUCUUAGUGAUCUGACGGUACUGAGUGGAAAGGCCGUCACUCAACGGAUAAAAGUUACUCUAGGAUAACAGGCUGAUCUCCCCCAAGAGUUCACAUCGACGGGGAGGUUUGGCACCUCGAUGUCGGCUCAUCGCAUCCUGGGGCGGUAGUACGUCCCAAGGGUUGGGCUGUUCGCCCAUGAAAGCGGUACGCGAGCUGGGUUCAGAACGUCGUGAGACAGUUCGAUCCAUAUCCGGUGUAGGCGUUAGAAUAUUGAGAGGAGCCUUCUUUAGUACGAGAGGACCGAGAAGGACAUACCUCUGGUGUACCAGUUAUCGUGCCAACGGUAAACGCUGGGUAGCUAUGUAUGGAGUGGAUAACCGCUGAAAGCAUCUAAGUGGGAAGCCCACCCCAAGAUAAG